rnacentral:rRNA from 1 species
AGGGUUCGAUUAUGGCUCAGAACGUACGCUGGCGGCACGCCUUAUACAUGCAAGUCGAACGAAGUAGCAAUACUUAGUGGCAGACGGGUGAGUAACAUGUAGGUAUCUGCCCUUUGGCCUGGAAUAACACGAGGAAACUUGUGCUAAUACCGGAUAAGUCUUUACGGAGAAAGCUUUAUGCACCAUUGGAUGAGCCUGCACUUGAUUAGUUUGUUGGUGGGGUAAUGGCCUACCAAGACAAUGAUCAAUAGCUGAUUUGAGAGGAUGAUCAGCCACAUUGGAACUGAGACACGGUCCAAACUCCUACGGGAGGCAGCAGUAGGGAAUCUUGCACAAUGGAGGAAACUCUGAUGCAGCGAUGCCGCGUGAGUGAAGAAGGCCUUUGGGUUGUAAAGCUCUUUCGUCGGGGAAGAAAAUGACUGUACCCGAAUAAGAAGGUCCGGCUAACUUCGUGCCAGCAGCCGCGGUAAUAC